rnacentral:rRNA from 1 species
UACGGAGGGUGCAAGCGUUAUCCGGAUUCACUGGGUUUAAAGGGAGCGUAGGUGGGUUGGUAAGUCAGUGGUGAAAUCCCCGAGCUUAACUUGGGAACUGCCAUUGAUACUAUCAGUCUUGAAUACUGUGGAGGUUAGCGGAAUAUGUCAUGUAGCGGUGAAAUGCUUAGAUAUGACAUAGAACACCAAUUGCGAAGGCAGCUGGCUACACAUAUAUUGACGCUGAGGCUCGAAAGCGUGGGGAUCAAACAGG